rnacentral:rRNA from 1 species
AUUGAACGCUGGCGGCAUGCCUUACACAUGCAAGUCGAACGGUAACAGGUUAAGCUGACGAGUGGCGAACGGGUGAGUAAUAUAUCGGAACGUGCCCAGUAGUGGGGGAUAGCCCGGCGAAAGCCGGAUUAAUACCGCAUACGACCUACGGGUGAAAGGGGGGGAUCGCAAGACCUCUCGCUAUUGGAGCGGCCGAUAUCAGAUUAGGUAGUUGGUGGGGUAAAGGCCUACCAAGCCUGCGAUCUGUAGUUGGUCUGAGAGGACGACCAGCCACACUGGGACUGAGACACGGCCCAGACUCCUACGGGAGGCAGCAGUGGGGAAUUUUGGACAAUGGGCGCAAGCCUGAUCCAGCAAUGCCGCGUGCAGGAAGAAGGCCUUCGGGUUGUAAACUGCUUUUGUCAGGGAAGAAAUCCUCUGGGUUAAUACCUCGGGGGGAUGACGGUACCUGAAGAAUAAGCACCGGCUAACUACGUGCCAGCAGCUGCCGUAAAAC